rnacentral:lncRNA from 1 species
UUUUAAUUAUAUAAAAAAACCUCCCUUUCUCUCCGUCCCCCUUCUUCUCCCAGCUCUCCCACCCCAUCCCCUCCUCAAUCCAGCCACCCGCACCUCCUCUAUGAAGCACAGCUCCGCCAUCUACUACUCCUUCGAGCUCGUCCAACUCGGAGGCCGAGGAAGACUUUCAGAGCCGCUUGCUAGGCGAUUCAACAUCCUCAAAUUUUGGCCCAAAUAGACAAAAUUUCUGUUGAAAAUUCUUUGGAACCGUAAGGAAGAAGAAGCGUGCUCAUCCCUCUUAUUCCAGCACGAUAGAAAGCAAAGAGUGAAAGGCUGAGCAACAUGGACGACGACCAAGAUGAUGACUUUGUUUUGGCGCAUUCAUGCAUCUCACCGUCUUCUUCCCAAAAACCAAUCAAAGAGACUAAAUGCCUGUGUAUAAGCUUUGAAAGCAUCUCAAUUUUGCUUGCAUGCAUCUAAUACAAAUUAGAAAUAUGCCCCAUCAAUAAUAAAUACCGUGAAUGCUGUCCCAAAAUAUAUUGCAACAUUCAUCCUUUUCCUUUCUUAAUUAUGUUAUAUAUUUUGUGUUCAUUCUAUUUCCAUCCUCAUAAUCCUAAUUGUCUCAAUCAAAUCUCCGUAAUUUAAUAUUAGUUUCAAUUGGUAAAGUAACU